AUCUAGCUGACGAGUCCCAAAUAGGACGAAACACGCGUCCUGGAU
rfam:Schistosoma margrebowiei strain Zambia genome assembly, scaffold: SMRZ_contig0000084